GCGGAUGUGGCGGAAUUGGUAUACGCGCACGCUUGAGGUGCGUGUGGCAUUGUCCUUGCGAGUUCGAGUCUCGCCAUCCGCA
rnacentral:tRNA from 4 species